AUGAUGGACGAAGAAGCCACGAAGCGGUACUGUCGGAUGAGUGAUGAUGGACAGAAGCAGGAUCAAGCUGAGCGAGGGAAAGGUCAGGACGAGAGAGAGAUCACCGUCCUGCCGCGGAGGAAGACAGAUGAACUGGACGACAAUACGAAGAUGACAGCAUCGGGCUCGACCUCUUGUUGUUCGUCUUGUAUCAGUCUGAAGGACCGAUGUCCUCGACCACAGGGACUCAUCAACCUGCUU